GACGUAGGAUGCAAGCGUUGUCCGGAUUUAUUGGGCGUAAAGAGUUCGUAGGCGGUUUGUUAAGUCUGAUGUAAAAGACUGGGGCUCAACCUCGGGACUGCAUUGGAUACUGGCAGACUGGAGUACGGUAGAGGCAAGUGGAAUUCCCAGUGUAGCGGUGAAAUGCGUAGAUAUUGGGAAGAACACCGGUGGCGCAAGCGACUUGCUGGGCCGUAACUGACGCUGAGGAACGAAAGCUAGGGUAGCGAAUGGGAUUAGAUACCCCAGUAGUCCUAGCCGUAAACGAUGGAUACUAGGCGUAGUGGGUAUCGACCCCCGCUGUGCCGCAGCUAACGCGAUAAGUAUCCCGCCUGAGUAGUACGGCCGCAAGGUUGAA
rnacentral:rRNA from 1 species